UACGUAGGGUGCGAGCGUUGUCCGGAAUUAUUGGGCGUAAAGAGCUUGUAGGCGGUCUGUCGCGUCUGCUGUGAAAAUCCGGGGCUCAACCCCGGACUUGCAGUGGGUACGGGCAGACUAGAGUGUGGUAGGGGAGACUGGAAUUCCUGGUGUAGCAGUGAAAUGCGCAGAUAUCAGGAGGAACACCGAUGGCGAAGGCAGGUCUCUGGGCCACUACUGACGCUGAGAAGCGAAAGCAUGGGGAGCGAACAGG
rnacentral:rRNA from 1 species